UGGGGAAUUUUGGACAAUGGGCGAAAGCCUGAUCCAGCAAUGCCGCGUGUGUGAAGAAGGCCUUCGGGUUGUAAAGCACUUUUGUCCGGAAAGAAAUCCUUGGCUCUAAUACAGUCGGGGGAUGACGGUACCGGAAGAAUAAGCACCGGCUAACUACGUGCCAGCAGCCGCGGUAAUACGUAGGGUGCAAGCGUUAAUCGGAAUUACUGGGCGUAAAGCGUGCGCAGGCGGUUUGCUAAGACCGAUGUGAAAUCCCCGGGCUCAACCUGGGAACUGCAUUGGUGACUGGGCAGGCUAGAGUAUGGCAGAGGGGGGUAGAAUUCCACGUGUAGCAGUGAAAUGCGUAGAGAUGUGGAGGAAUACCGAUGGCGAAGGCAGCCCCCUGGGGCCAAUACUGACGCUCAUGCACGAAAAGCGUGGGGGAGCAAAACAGGAUUAGAUACCCUGGUAGUCCACGCCCUAAAACGAUGUCAACUAGUUGUUGGGGAUUCAUUUCCUUAGUAACGUAGCUAACGCGUGAAGUUGACCGCCUGGGGAGUACGGUCGCAAGAUUAAAACUUAAAUGAAUUGACGGGGUC
rnacentral:rRNA from 1 species